rnacentral:rRNA from 1 species
AGAGUGGACGCUGGCGGUAGGCCUAACACAUGCAAGUCGAACGGCAGCACAGUAGGAGCUUGCUCUUACGGGUGGCGAGUGGCGGACGGGUGAGGAAUACAUCGGAAUCUACCUUUUGGUGGGGGAUAACGUAGGGAAACUUACGCUAAUACCGCAUACGCCCUUCGGGGGAAAGCCGGGGACCAGCAAUGGCCUGGUGCUGAUAGAUGAGCCGAUGUCGGAUUAGCUAGUUGGUGAGGUAAUGGCUCACCAAGGCGACGAUCCGUAGCUGGUCUGAGAGGAUGAUCAGCCACACUGGAACUGAGACACGGUCCAGACCUCCGUACGGGAGCAGCA